AUUCAAGGCUGAGGGUCCUUGAGAGGGAAGAAAGGGGUGAAUGGUUUCCAGGUGACAUUUCUGCUUCCCCACACCCAUCCCCAGGAGGGUGAAAUUCCUCACAGGUCUCUGUGCGCUUUCAUGUGAAGCCUGCCGAGCCCUGGCCAGCAUUCCUCUGUCCAUCCUGUGGGUUGGGAGCUGGUGGAGAGGGGUCAUUAGCCCUUUUUCAGCUGUGUAAAGUGUGAGGGUAGGGCCCCAGCGGGGACCUGCUGAAAGCGGAUGUCCCUCCACUCCCAGCGGAGGGGCUUCGAGGGAGGAAAGCCCAUCUAGGUGGGUGUUCAGGGCUGCCUUACCCGCCCCUCGACUCGUGCCUGCAAUGCAAGCGGAUGCCUGUGACACAGACUGGAGGACCAGAGUGAUUCUGCCCCAUGCCAAACCCUUUCGCGAUGAUUGUCUCAUGUGACGCUUACAAUUCUGGGAGCCAGGCAGGACAGAUAGAGUGAUCAUCUCCAUUUUAUGGAUGAGGAAAUUGAUCCCCAAGAGUUGAAGUGACUUGCCCAAGGACAUGGUGAGUAAGGAGUCUGGACUUCCCGCAGGUUUGCUUGACUCUGAACUCCAGGUUCUGUCCAUGGCCCUGAGCUGCCAUUCCCCUGAGCUCCACACCCCACACCCCUCACCCCUCCAGAAGGAGCUAAGGGCAGAUUCUCCUCCCUUAUCCUCCAAGAAGUCAGGGGCUUCUUGCUCUGUUUGAAAUAAAAAGCAACUGCGUCUGCGCACCAGUGGCAGAGACGGACUUUGUACAAGCAUCGGGGUGAAAUGAACAUUCUUCAGGCAUGAGAUGUUACCUCUCCCCAUGUCUGGGUUAGGGUCCCCGCUUCAUGCUCUCACAACUCCUGAAUUUUGGCACCAUAACCCCAUCACACUGUACUGGAUUGGCUAGCAGGCUGGCUUACCAAUAGCCUAGAAUUUCCUUGACACGUCAAGAAAAAUCUCCCUGGUGCCCACUGGUCAAGCAUUUAGACUGUCCCCACCCACCUGCGUUCUGCAACAAGACCCCCUCUCCUGCAGGUGGCCUGCUCCCCCUGUACCUACCCAUCAGGUGAUGCCAGCCACCAAUGUGUCAGGAUAACCACACGGGCUUUCUUGGAGGCAGCAGUUUCAGUGAGGCAUUUUUUUGGUGUGUUUAUUAUACAAUUUUAACACCUAUAUUUUAAUUUUAGAAUAGUUUUAGAUGUACAGAAAAGUUGCAAAUAGAGAAUUCCCAUACACCCCUUACCCAAGUUUCUUCUAUUGUUAACAUCCUAUAUCACCAGAGUACAUUUGUCAUAGCUAAAAAACAAACAUUGGGCCAGGCACAGUGGCUCACACCUGUAAUCCCAGCACUUUGGGAGGUCCAAGGCGGGAGAAUUGCUUGAGCCCAGGAGUUUGAGACUAGCCUGGGCAACAGAGUGAGACUCUGUCUCUAUAAAAAAUUUAAAAAUUAGCUGGAUGUGGUGGCACAUGCCUGUAAUUUCAGCUACUCUGGAGGCUGAGACAGGAGAAUUACUUGAGCCCAGGAGUUUGAGGCUGCAGUGAGCUAUGAUCGUGCCACUGCUCUCCAGCCUGGGCAACAGAGUGAGACCCUUACUUAAAAAAAAAAAAAGUACACUACUCUUAACUAAACUCAACACAUGAUUUAGAUUUCACCAUUAUUUUUUUAAUGCCACGAGUAAUACAUUCUUGUAUGAGAUUCAACAGUGUAGUAAAAGAAACAGUAAAAUAUGACUCUCCCUUCAUUCCUUCCCCAAGGCCUCUCCUGCCCCAGGAGGAAUCCUUCUGCCUCCUCUCUGCAGGUACACCUUAUUCCUGCCACUUUCCCCCAGGCAGUGGGUCUCGAGCUGGUGGUCAGCACAUCCGCCUACCCUCAUGCUCUUGUGUCUUGAUGACAGCCCCCUCCCCUGCUGCAGUGAAUCCUCUCUUCCCUAAUCCCUGCCCAUCCUCUGUUCUCUCCUCCAGCCACACUUCCUCUGGGUAGCUUUGAGGAACUCCCAGCCUCCAGGGGCCCCCCUCUUCAGACUGUCUUUGUUUUGGUCUCCUUGACCCACAAACAGUUGGGGGUGAUGACAAUGCUCCCUGCCCCUCCUGUCCCUGUGAAGCUCCUAGGAUGCAGUAGGUACAUGGUAAUGGGCUGUGAAUGAAGUGAACCAGGGCUUCAGGAAAGGCGCCUGGCUGUAAUUGGCAGUGGGUAGUGCCUUCCAACACUGUGGUGGAGCAGGUAGGAAGGUGCGGAAGACUUGGUGUCUGCCCUCAGGGCCCCCCAUCCUGGGGAGGACACACCCACACAUGCUCGCCUGGCUCCUGGAUGGCUGUGGCCAGCAGAGCUCAGGCCAGGCCCAACUAUCUGUGCCCAAGGCUGGGGGUGGGACUGGGGUAGAGGGUUUCUGGACAAAGCCUCUGCCCUGCUCUGCUUGAUGUGGCUUUGCUCUUUUCUGCCAUGGCUAGGACUCACCCCCCAGCCAGAGAAGGAGGCCGUAUUCCAGCCUUUUCUGCCUCCUCCAUACCUCCUUCACAGCAAGUCCUAGAGGGCAACUUUGAGCUGUUGCCUCAGCAUCCUUCAUCAAAGCAUCAUCUGUUUCUCUCCUAGCCCCCUGGUGGGCGGCUGCCACCACCAGCAGCACCGAGAACUUAUCCCGGCCCCCUCCCCACCAGUGCCAGCUGGUCUCAGCCUGCACUUUGCCCAAGGUCCUGGGAAUGGGGCUGGGGUUGGAAGGGGGCCGAUGCCUGGGGUGGCAGCCUGUUCACCUGAGGAGCUGGUCCUCCUCACUCGCCAUGGGUCAGCUCAUCCAUCCCCUUGCCUCAGUGCUUGCCUGCCUCUGCCAAUCCCAGGAAAAGGAGAAGAUUCGGGUGAAGACAAUGGCUGCUACCACCAGCAACGUCUGUGCCUCUGAUUGCCAAGUCUCCUCCUGCCGCCUCACUGCCUCCCCAUGGCUGCCUGGGCCUUCAAGUCAGAAAGGACAGGGCAGGAAAAGGACUCUGGAGACAGGAGGAGUCCCAAGGUGUUGGGGGGUGGUGAUGGAGGGAGGCUGCUCAGGGAGGAAAGGAUAGUGGGGGUGAGCCUCAAGGUGUGUGCUCACGUGACCCUGGGAAGGUGUGUCUGUGUGUGUGUGUUUACAGGCUGAGGAGGGGCCAUGCCCCCCAGACCACCCUGGGCAGGUCUGCAGCAGGGGGCCAAAGCCCUGGGGGUCCCAGGUCUUUGGCUCCUAUGGGGCCCAAGCCCAGGAGAGGCUGUGGAGCUGGACAGCCGGGGGUGGGGGAUUGCAGCAUCAGGCUGGCUGCCGUGGCAUGAGAUGAAAGGCCAGGAGUGGGGCUGUUGGCAGACUGGCAGACGGACAGGCGGGGCCGGGUGGAGGCGUGGGGUGGGGGAGGGGAGAUAACCAUCUGCUAGAGCCGCCAGGUGUAGACAUGGUGGAGUGUGGGGGAUGCGGGUGGAGGGUUAGCCCUUGCCAUCAGGGGAAAGAGCCAGAAGCUGGAAGGGCUCCCUGUGAGGUCAUCUUGUCCAGCCUGAUGCCUUUGGGCCCUCGGCCCCAAACCAAGCAGGCCCUGCUUCUGGCACUUGGUGCUCCUCCCUGGCCCCAGCCCCCAGCCUGUCCUCCGCACUGCACCCAUCCCAGAGCAGUGCCCCAGAAGUCCAACCCAGAGUCCUCUCCGCACUUAAAGGCACAGCGCUCCAUAGAGAGGGUCCGCCAAGCCCGGCCUCCUCUUAGUCACUAACUGCUGGGGUAGCCCAGGACUGGGUUGGUCCCUAUCACCUUUCGUCUCCUUGAUUCCAAACCUCUCUUACUGUAGUUGUAUGAUUAUUUGUUGGUGCCUUGCCCCUAGCCCCAAACUUGGAGAGAAGGUUCUAGAAAGCAUGGAAAAAGCAUGAGCAAUGAAGCAAGCCGCUCCUAAACAGUGUGGGGUCCAGGACAAGAGUCUUGCUUCCUAAAUCUCUCUCUUAACCUCUUGUUGUCUUUCUGUACUCACACCUAAUUCUCUAGUCCAGGCUUCUAAUUUUCUCAUCCAGAAAUUACUUUGACAAUUCCCCUAAUAUGCCCCCCAGCCUCCUCACUGCCCUCUGAUCUGCUGCCUCAGUGGUCUGUCUAACACGAGAGUCUCACCAUGUCACUUCUCUGCUCAACACCCUUCAAAGCAGUACUGCUUCCAGAGCCAGCAAGAGGAAUCCCUGCCCCAGGCCCCUCAUGACAUGGAUAUGACACUGACGCUUCCUUUGCUGGAGAACCCAUGACAGCCUAGGUCAUGCAGGCUCUGGUACCAAGGGCUGCGGGGUGCAACCCACAGCUUCAAACUUCUGCUCUACACUUCUGUCACUACAGCCAUCGGGCCUCAGUCACAGGCUUCUUGCUCUAAGUGUUUGAAACAAAGAGCAACUGCGUCUGCGCGCCAUUGGUGGAGAUGGACUUUGUACAAGCGCCGGAGUGAAAUGAAAAAUGAAUGGGGAGCAUCAUAACUUCGGGUUUCCAGUCUGCCACAUAAGAAGCUUGGAAGUCACCGCUCCAUCCUAAUUACAAAAAACAGAAGUAACUGAAAGAAAAAAUACAUAUACUUGUUAGAUUAUUUCUUUCAAGUAGCGUACAUGCAAUAGAUUAUUAAUAUUUUAAAAACAUUCAAGAAUAAUUAAAUGGAUUCUUACAUAAACUCUCCUUGUAGUGUUGAGCAUCCUUGUCCUUAUUUCUUCUUUGUGAGUACAAGAGGUACUCAUAAAUCAGUGUAGCAUUCAAAUGAAUGCAUGUUGCAGAUGAGAAACACUUUGCUCUACUAAAUAAUUCAUAUAAUUUUUUUUGUUUUGAUACGGAGUCUUGCUCUGUUGCCC
rnacentral:lncRNA from 1 species